UACGAAGGGUGCAAACGUUGCUCGGAAUUAUUGGGCGUAAAGCGCACGUAGGCGGCUUAGCGAGUCGGAAGUGAAAUCCCACGGCUCAACCAUGGAAGUGCUUUCGAAACUGCUGAGCUUGAGUACGAAAGAGGAUCGCGGAAUUCCCGGUGUAGAGGUGAAAUUCGUAGAUAUCGGGAGGAACACCAGUGGCGAAGGCGGCGAUCUGGGUCGAUACUGACGCUGAGGUGCGAAAGCGUGGGGAGCAAACAGG
rnacentral:rRNA from 1 species